rnacentral:tRNA from 1 species
CAAAGUAUAGCUUAAACACAAAGCAUCUAGCUUACACCUAGAAGAUACCAUGCAAAAAUGGCUACUUUGA